UACGUAGGGGGCAAGCGUUGUCCGGAUUUAUUGGGCGUAAAGAGCGUGUAGGCGGCCAGACAAGUCUGCUGUGAAAACUCGAGGCUCAACCUCGAGCUGUCGGUGGAAACUGUCUGGCUAGAGUCCGGAAGAGGAGAGUGGAAUUCCUAGUGUAGCGGUGAAAUGCGUAGAGAUUAGGAAGAACACCAGUGGCGAAGGCGACUCUCUGGACUGUAACUGACGCUGAGGCUCGAAAGCGUGGGGAGCAAACAGG
rnacentral:rRNA from 1 species